AAAUAAAUAACAAUAUUAACAAUAAUAAUGAAAAUAAAUAAAUAAAUAUGUAAAUAAUUAAAUGAAUAAUAAAGAUAAUAAAUAAUCAAAGCACUAUAUUUAUUAUGUACCAAUUUAUAGAACUGAUCUAAAUAAACUUAUUAAUUAUGUUGUUAAAUAAAAAUUUAGUCUAGUUUCUAUCAAAAUUUCGGCAGCACCUCCCCUAAAAAUCGGACUAUCUACCUGCUCACAUAUCACAAUAUCAUUAUCUCUUUCUCAAUCAAUGCACACAGCCCAUCCGUCGGGCAAUCAAUCAAUUUAAAAUCCCAUCCUCCUUCCAUAACAACAAUAUCAACAGUCAACUAAAAAUUUACAAACUAAUUCUAAUAAUAUCCAUAUAAGAUCAUUUAUUAAUUAAAUUAUUAGCUUUACGGUAACUAAUUUGUUAAACAGCUAAAACAUAUUUUAGCC
rnacentral:lncRNA from 1 species